GUGCGGAUCGAACAACCAACCUUCGGAUCAAGAUAUCUCGAGCUAUACACGAUCGUUUCUUGUGAUUCUUGGCUUGUUGAGUUCAUAAGGAAGUUCUGAACAAUUCUCCAGAAGGGAUCGAGGCGUGAGGUUGUAAUUUUCACGUCGAUUUUGGAGCUCGCCGGAUUCUGGAAAUUUUCCACCACCACCGAAGCUUUUGAUAGGUAUAUCUCGAGUUGUAGUGCAUCGUUUUGAGUGAUUCUUAAACUGGUAAACUCACCUUGAGUUUCUUAACAACUCUCUAGAAGGAAUCGAAGCCUGAAAUUGAAGUUUUGACGUCGAAAUCAAGCCUUGCCGGAUUCUGCAAAAUUCUGGAAUUUUUCCGACCACCGAAGCUUUCGAUCGGUAUAUCUCGAGCUACAGACCAUAUUUUUCUGUGAUUCUUGAACCAGUGAGUUUUUCUUGAGUUUCUUAACAACUCUUCAGAAGGAAUCGAAGCCUUAAAUUGACGUUUUUACGUCGAAUUGGAGCUCGCCGUUUUCUGCAGUUUCUCGCCGGUUUCUGGAAAAUUCCGGCCACCUUCAUACUGUUCAAGGUGAUCGACGGUUUGAUUUGGCGGACGAUUCGUGAAAUUGUAUUUUGAGCUGUUAAGAAGACGCAGCGGGAAUUUAGAGCGGGAAAUCCUACAGGUCAGGAGAACCAGGACGGUGAUCGGACUGCUUAGAGUAGUGUUAUGUGAAUUACAGCAUUAUAUUGUGAGGUUUGUUAUGCUCAUUUAGAGCUUUGCAAUUUUACUUUGUAAGAGUGAAUUGUAAUAAUUAACUCGAGGUUUUCGAGUUUUUGUGUUGAGUGGCGAGUGGUGUGUUUGUUUGUGAGAAAAAA